rnacentral:rRNA from 1 species
GAUGAACUCUGGCGGCGUGCUUAACACAUGCAAGUCGAACGGUAAGGCUCCAGCUUGCUGGGGUACACGAGUGGCGAACGGGUGAGUAACACGUGGGUGACCUGCCCUGCACUUCGGGAUAAGCCUGGGAAACUGGGUCUAAUACCGGAUAGGACCGCACCGUGAGGGUGCGGUGGAAAGUUUUUUCGGUGUGGGAUGGGCCCGCGGCCUAUCAGCUUGUUGGUGGGGUAAUGGCCUACCAAGGCGGCGACGGGUAGCCGGCCUGAGAGGGUGGACGGCCACAUUGGGACUGAGACACGGCCCAGACUCCUACGGGAGGCAGCAGUGGGGAAUAUUGCACAAUGGGCGGAAGCCUGAUGCAGCGACGCCGCGUGGGGGAUGACAGCCUUCGGGUUGUAAACUCCUUUCACCAUCGACGAAGGGUUUCUGACGGUAGAUGGAGAAGAAGCACCGGCUAACUACGUGCCAGCAGCCGCGGUAAUACGUAGGGUGCGAGCGUUGUCCGGAAUUACUGGGCGUAAAGAGCUCGUAGGUGGUUUGUCGCGUCGUCUGUGAAAUUCCGGGGCUUAACUCCGGGCGUGCAGGCGAUACGGGCAUAACUUGAGUACUGUAGGGGAGACUGGAAUUCCUGGUGUAGCGGUGAAAUGCGCAGAUAUCAGGAGGAACACCGGUGGCGAAGGCGGGUCUCUGGGCAGUAACUGACGCUGAGGAGCGAAAGCAUGGGGAGCGAACAGGAUUAGAUACCCUGGUAGUCCAUGCCGUAAACGGUGGGCGCUAGGUGUGGGUUUCCUUCCACGGGAUCCGUGCCGUAGCUAACGCAUUAAGCGCCCCGCCUGGGGAGUACGGCCGCAAGGCUAAAACUCAAAGGAAUUGACGGGGGCCCGCACAAGCGGCGGAGCAUGUGGAUUAAUUCGAUGCAACGCGAAGAACCUUACCUGGGCUUGACAUAUACAGGAUCGCGCCAGAGAUGGUGUUUCCCUUGUGGCUUGUAUACAGGUGGUGCAUGGUUGUCGUCAGCUCGUGUCGUGAGAUGUUGGGUUAAGUCCCGCAACGAGCGCAACCCUUGUCUUAUGUUGCCAGCACGUUGUGGUGGGGACUCGUAAGAAACUGCCGGGGUUAACUCGGAGGAAGGUGGGGAUGACGUCAAAUCAUCAUGCCCCUUAUGUCCAGGGCUUCACACAUGCUACAAUGGUCGGUACAGUGGGUUGCCAGUCCGUGAGGGCGAGCUAAUCCCGCAAAGCCGGUCUCAGUUCGGAUCGGGGUCUGCAACUCGACCCCGUGAAGUCGGAGUCGCUAGUAAUCGCAGAUCAGCAACGCUGCGGUGAAUACGUUCCCGGGCCU